GAUGAACGCUAGCGGUAGGCCUAACACAUGCAAGCCGAGCGGUAGUUGUUCUUCGGAACAGAGAUAGCGGCGCACGGGGGCGGAACACGUGGGCAACCUGCCUUUAUCUGGGGGAUAGCCUUUCGAAAGGAAGAUUAAUACCCCAUAUUAUAUUGACUGGCAUCGUUUGAUAUUGAAAACUCUUGGGGAUAUAGAUGGGCACGCGCGAGGUUAGAUAGUUGGUUAGGUAACGGCGAAGCAAGUCAAUGAUCUUUAGGUGGCCUGAGAGUGUGAGCCCCCACACUGGUAAUGAGACACGGACCCGAACCCUACGCGAGGCAGCGGUGAGGAAGAUUGGAGGAUGAGUUAGGGCCUGAUCAAGCCGUCCCGCGUGAAGGACGACGGCCGUAUGGGUUGUAAUCUUCUUUUGUAUAGGGAUAAAACUACUAUCGUGAGAGUAGCUGACGGUACUAAAAGAAUAAGCACCGGCUAACUCCGUG
rnacentral:rRNA from 1 species